rnacentral:rRNA from 1 species
CACGUAGGGCGCAAGCGUUGUCCGGAAUUAUUGGGCGUAAAGAGCUCGUAGGCGGUCUGUUGCGUCCGCUGUGAAAACUCGGGGUAUACCCCCGAGCCUGCAGUGGAUACGGGCAGACUAGAGGUAGGUAGGGGGAGGAUGGAAUUCCCGGUGUAGCGGUGAAAUGCGCAGAUAUCAGGAGGAACACCGGUGGCGAAGGCGGGUCUCUGGGCAACAACUGACGCUGAGGAGCGAAAGCGUGGGGAGCGAACAGG